AGGCCUGCGGGUUGUAAAGCACUUUCAGUAGAGAAGAAAAGCCGAAGGUUAAUACCCUUCAGUCUUGACGUAACCUACAGAAGAAGCACCGGCUAACUCCGUGCCAGCAGCCGCGGUAAUACAGAGACCACGAGCGUUAUCCGAAUUUAUUGGGUGUAAAGGGUCCGCAGGCGGUCCUAUAAGUCAUGUGUUAAAUUUCUGGGCUCAACCCAGAACCAGCGCAUGAUACUGUAGGACUAGAGGCCGGGAGAGGUACACGGAAUUGCUGGUGUAGCGGUAAAAUGCGUUAAUAUCAGCAAGAACACCAAAUGCGAAGGCAGUGUACUGGAACGAGCCUGACGCUCAGGGACGAAAGCGUGGGUAGCGAAUGGGAUUAGAUACCCCGGUAGUCCUAGCCGUAAACGAUGGGURCUGGGUGUAGGGGGUAUGAACCCYCCCUGWGCCGAAGMUAACGCAUUAAGUGCUCCGCCUGGGGAGUACGGUCGCAAGGCUGAAACUCAAARGAAUUGACRGGGGCCCGCACAAKCGGUGGAGCAUGURGUUCAAUUCKACGCWMCGCGAAGAACCUUAACGGGGUUUGAAGUKCACSGGAUCGCUCUAGAGAUAGAGUUUUCCUUCGGGACCCGWGUAKAGGUGCUGCAUGGCUGUCGUCWGCUCGUGUCGUGAGAUGUUGGGUKAASUCCCRCAACGAGCGCMACCCUUGMCUCCUGUUGCCAUCWG
rnacentral:rRNA from 1 species